rnacentral:ncRNA from 2 species
UGUUCCUCGAAUCACAAACCCUAUGACAACCGGGGGGUCAUAUAACCAUGGUUGGGGUCGUGGAGGGGUCAUGGGCGAGAUCUAGGUGAAAACGAGACAAUGGUUAGAACCUUGGGUCAAAGGGCAGAAAAGGAUGUGAUCGAUCGACGACAACUAGGAGGUGCGCUUGGAAGCGACCAUCCUUGGAAGAAAGCGAAAUAGCUCACUGGUCUUGCUCCAUGGCACCAACAAUGUAUCUUGGCUCAAGUGAUUCACCGAAGCGAUGGGACACUAAAAGAAACUCUUUAAAGUGUUUGUAGCGGAACGUCCUGUUAAUCGGGGAAGGUUUUCGUUGACAAGACCUGGAGAUAUCAGAAGUG